AGCCUAUGAAAUGGGAACAAUCUCAACAAGUCCUUAUAACGCUCCCAUGUGUCAAACAAAAAUUCCCCCUCUUCCUGCCUAAAAUUAUUAAACUCAUUUCUUUGGGC